AUUGAACGCUGGCGGCAGGCUUAACACAUGCAAGUCGAGCGGAGUGAUGGUGCUUGCACUAUCACUUAGCGGCGGACGGGUGAGUAAUGCUCAGGAAUCUGCCUAUUAGUGGGGGACAACAUCUCGAAAGGGAUGCUAAUACCGCAUACGUCCUACGGGAGAAAGCAGGGGAUCACUUGUGACCUUGCGCUAAUAGAUGAGCCUAAGUCGGAUUAGCUAGUUGGGGGGGUAAAGGCCUACCAAGGCGACGAUCUGUAGCGGGUCUGAGAGGAUGAUCCGCCACACUGGGACUGAGACACGGCCCAGACUCCUACGGGAGGCAGCAGUGGGGAAUAUUGGACAAUGGGGGGAACCCUGAUCCAGCCAUGCCGCGUGUGUGAAGAAGGCCUUAUGGUUGUAAAGCACUUUAAGCGAGGAGGAGGCUCUUUUGGUUAAUACCCAAGAUGAGUGGACGUUACUCGCAGAAUAAGCACCGGCUAACUCUGUGCCAGCCGCCGCAGUAA
rnacentral:rRNA from 1 species